AAGUCAUAACAAGGUUUCCGUAGGUGAACCUGCGGAAGGAUCAUUAGUGAUUUGGCCGAGAGGCCUUUAAUCCAAUCCUCACACCUGUGAACUUGUCGGUGGGCUCAGUCCCGCCGGUCAUUCAAUACUAUGUGUAAUGAACGUGAUGUAUAUCAAAACAAAACAAAACUUUCAACAACGGAUCUCUUGGCUCUCGCAUCGAUGAAGAACGCAGCGAAAUGCGAUAAGUAAUGUGAAUUGCAGAAUUCAGUGAAUCAUCGAAUCUUUGAACGCACCUUGCGCCUCUUGGUAUUCCGAGAGGCAUGCCUGUUUGAGCGUCAUUUCACCAAUCAAGCCUGGCUUGGUAUUGGGCACCGGGGGCGACCCGGGCCUCAAAGUCGCCGGCUGGUAAGCUCUGAUCUCAGCGUCGUGAUCAAUCAAAUUCGCUUUGCAGAGGAGUGAGCCGUGCCGGUUAAGAAUUAUCUAAAGGUUGACCUCGGAUCGGGUAGGAAUACCCGCUGAACUUAA
rnacentral:rRNA from 1 species